ACGCUGGCGGCAGGCCUAACACAUGCAAGUCGAGCGGCAGCACGGGUACUUGUACCUGGUGGCGAGCGGCGGACGGGUGAGUAAUGCCUAGGAAUCUGCCUGGUAGUGGGGGAUAACGCUCGGAAACGGACGCUAAUACCGCAUACGUCCUACGGGAGAAAGCAGGGGACCUUCGGGCCUUGCGCUAUCAGAUGAGCCUAGGUCGGAUUAGCUAGUUGGUGAGGUAAUGGCUCACCAAGGCGACGAUCCGUAACUGGUCUGAGAGGAUGAUCAGUCACACUGGAACUGAGACACGGUCCAGACUCCUACGGGAGGCAGCAGUGGGGAAUAUUGGACAAUGGGCGAAAGCCUGAUCCAGCCAUGCCGCGUGUGUGAAGAAGGUCUUCGGAUUGUAAAGCACUUUAAGUUGGGAGGAAGGGCAUUUACCUAAUGCGUAAGUGUUUUGACGUUACCGACAGAAUAAGCACCGGCUAACUCUGUGCCAGCAGCCGCGGUAAUACAGAGGGUGCAAGCGUUAAUCGGAAUUACUGGGCGUAAAGCGCGCGUAGGUGGUUUGUUAAGUUGAAUGUGAAAUCCCCGGGCUCAACCUGGGAACUGCAUCCAAAACUGGCAAGCUAGAGUAUGGUAGAGGGUGGUGGAAUUUCCUGUGUAGCGGUGAAAUGCGUAGAUAUAGGAAGGAACACCGGUGGCGAAGGCGACCACCUGGACUGAUACUGACACUGAGGUGCGAAAGCGUGGGGAGCAAAC
rnacentral:rRNA from 1 species